AUGAACGCUAGCGGCAGGCUUAACACAUGCAAGUCGAGGGGCAGCACGAGGUAGCAAUACUUUGGUGGCGACCGGCGCACGGGUGCGUAACGCGUAUGCAACCUACCUUUAACAGGGGCAUAACACUGAGAAAUUGGUACUAAUUCCCCAUAACAUUCGAGAAGGCAUCUUCUUGGGUUAAAAACUCCGGUGGUUAAAGAUGGGCAUGCGUUGUAUUAGCUAGUUGGUGAGGUAACGGCUCACCAAGGCAACGAUACAUAGGGGGACUGAGAGGUUAACCCCCCACAUUGGUACUGAGACACGGACCAAACUCCUACGGGAGGCAGCAGUGAGGAAUAUUGGUCAAUGGACGCAAGUCUGAACCAGCCAUGCCGCGUGCAGGAAGACGGCUCUAUGAGUUGUAAACUGCUUUUGUACUAGGGUAAACGCUUCUACGUGUAGGAGCCUGAAAGUAUAGUACGAAUAAGGAUCGGCUAACUCCGUGCCAGCAGCCGCGGUAAUACGGAGGAUCCAAGCGUUAUCCGGAUUUAUUGGGUUUAAAGGGUGCGUAGGCGGUUUGAUAAGUUAGAGGUGAAAUACCGGGGCUCAACUCCGGAACUGCCUCUAAUACUGUUGAACUAGAGAGUAGUUGCGGUAGGCGGAAUGUAUGGUGUAGCGGUGAAAUGCUUAGAGAUCAUACAGAACACCGAUUGCGAAGGCAGCUUACCAAACUAUAUCUGACGUUGAGGCACGAAAGCGUGGGGAGCAAACAGGAUUAGAUACCCUGGUAGUCCAUGCCGUAAACGAUGAGUGCUAGGUGUUGGAGGGUUUCCGCCCUUCAGUGCUGCAGCAAACGCAUUAAGCACUCCGCCUGGGGAGUACGACCGCAAGGUUGAAACUCAAAGGAAUUGACGGGGGCCCGCACAAGCAGUGGAGUAUGUGGUUUAAUUCGAAGCAACGCGAAGAACCUUACCAGGUCUUGACAUCGAUCUAAAGGCUCCAGAGAUGGAGAGAUAGCUAUAGAGAAGACAGGUGGUGCAUGGUUGUCGUCAGCUCGUGCCGUGAGGUGUCGGGUUAAGUCCCAUAACGAGCGCAACCCCUACCGUUAGUUGCCAUCAGGUCAAGCUGGGCACUCUGGCGGGACUGCCGGUGUAAGCCGAGAGGAAGGUGGGGAUGACGUCAAAUCAGCACGGCCCUUACGUCCGGGGCUACACACGUGUUACAAUGGUAGGUACAGAGGGCCGCUACCCCGUGAGGGGAUGCCAAUCUCGAAAGCCUAUCUCAGUUCGGAUCGGAGGCUGAAACCCGCCUCCGUGAAGUUGGAUUCGCUAGUAAUCGCGCAUCAGCCAUGGCGCGGUGAAUACGUUCCCGGGCCUUGUACACACCGCCCGUCAAGCCAUGGAAGCUGGGGGUGCCUGAAGUUCGUGACCGCAAGGAGCGACCUAGGGCAAAACCGGUGACUGGGGCU
rnacentral:rRNA from 1 species